CCUCCUCGAUCUGCUGCGGGCAGAUGAAGUGGAUGUGGCUGUCGAAACCGCCGGCGGUGAGGAUCUUGCCCUCGCCCGCGAUCACCUCGGUGCCGGGCCCGACCACGAUGUCGACGCCCGGCUGCACGUCCGGGUUGCCGGCCUUGCCGAGCUUGGCGAUGCGGCCCCGCACGAUGCCGACAUCGCAUUUCACGAUGCCCCAAUGGUCGAGCACCACGGCGUUGGUGAUCACGGUGUCGACGGCGCCGUCCGCAUUGGUCGCCUGGGACUGGCCCAUGCCGUCGCGGAUG
rnacentral:sRNA from 1 species